UAACAUUGGUGCUCUCGCUGAGAGGUUUCUUCCAUUUUUCAUGGGAAAACAAAUAACUCAACAAUCUGAAAAUACAUUUCCAAUAUACAAUAGGAAAGAUGGUUAUGGAUGGACACCUGAGGAGCAGAGAUUCAUAGAGGUGGAAAGAGGUUUGAAAGGGAAAGCUCUAAAAUGGUUUCAGUUAUGGAAGGCGCUCAAUCCAUUUGCCAAUUUGGAAACAUUCGAAAUUGCUGCUGGAAAAUUGAGUGGGAAGAGAUUAAAGCUAGACUAAGGCAACAACGGCAACCAAAUCUCAGCUAUCAACAGAACAAGACUCGCAGCAACAUCAACAGAAAUUCAAGAAAAAAGAGAGGCCAAAAUCGAUGCAAAUUCAGAUUCAACAAGCAAUUUAGCAAGCAAUUACAAACAAAGCCAGCAAAACCAGCAACUACAAAUCAAAGCCAUUAGCAAAUUUGAACAAAAAAAUUAGGAGCCAUCAGCAAAACCAGCAAUUAGAAAACAAAGUCAGCAAUUACAAAACACUAAACCUUCACCCAGCAAUUACAAACAAAGCUAGCAAAACUAACAUAACCAGCAACUACAAAUCAAAGCAAAACCAGCAACUACAACACAAUGAAAAAUAGAUAUGAAAUUAAAAAGAGCCCCACAACACAAUGAACAAUAACAAGUUAGGAGCCAUCAGCAAUUAAAAACAGGACCCACAACACAAUGAUUAACCAUGUUCUUAACCUAAAGCAGG
rnacentral:lncRNA from 1 species